rnacentral:sRNA from 1 species
AGCUGAACUCGGCGCCUUGAAAGAUGGAGGCAGCGGAGACAGAGGCGGAAGCUGCAGCCCUAGAGGUCCUGGCUGAGGUGGCAGGCAUCCUGGAACCUGUAGGCCUGCAGGAGGAGGCAGAACUGCCAGCCAAGAUCCUAGUUGAGUUUGUGGUGGUAUGUACAAGAUGAGAGCGAGCCUUUCAGAAGCCAGGGUCUGGUCCUGGCUCCUCUUACUGAGUUACAGGGCAGCAUUGGCAGAGAGCAGACUUAAGGAAACCUGUAAGGAGGGUAAGGAUGUUCCCUGUCUCUGCUCUCCCUCUAAGCAGGACUCUCAGAAGAAAGACAAGCUGCUCUGCAGCCAGCUUCAGGUAGUGGAUUUCCUGCAGAACAUCCUGGCUCAGGACGACACUGCUAAGGGUCUGGACCCCUUGGCUUCUGAAGACACGAGCCGUGAGUAGGCAGGGGAUUGGAGUAGCAGCUGGCCUGAGUGGGGAAGGAAGGAGGAUUUCAGUUAGGUCUCCCAUUUGGCUUAUGGGAAGGAGGCCCAGUGUUGCAGGGAGGCAGGCUAGCAGGCCACCCUCACUCAUGUUCUCAUUCCUGGUGGCUCAUCUCAGGACAGAAGGCAAUUGCAGCUAAGGAACAAUGGAAAGAGCUGAAGGCCACCUACAGGGAGCACGUAGAGGCCAUCAAAAUUGGCCUCACCAAGGCCCUGACUCAGAUGGAGGAAGCCCAGAGGAAACGGACACAACUCCAGGAAGCCUUUGAGCAGCUCCAGGCCAAGAAACAAAUGGCCAUGGAGAAACGCAGAGCAGCCCAGAACCAGUGGCAGCUACAACAGGAGAAGCAUCUGCAGCAUCUGGCGGAGGUUUCUGCAGAGGUGAGGGAGCGUAAGACAGGGACUCAGCAGGAGCUUGAGGGGGUGUUUCAGAAACUUGGAAACCUGAAGCAGCAGGCAGAACAGGAGCGGGACAAGCUGCAGAGGUAAGUUCGGGAGCAUGGGCUGCAGAUUCAGAAUGGUCAGCUGAGAUUCCUUUCCUUCACACUUACCUCCUCUUUGCAGGUAUCAGACCUUCCUCCAGCUUGUGUAUACCCUGCAGGGUAAGCUGUUGUUCCCUGAGGCUGAGGCUGAGGCAGAGAAUCUUCCAGAUGAUAAACCCCAGCAGCUGACUCGACCCCAGGAGCAGAGUACAGGAGACACCAUGGGGAGAGACCCUGGUGUGUCCUUCAAGGCUGUCGGUCUACAACCUGCUGGAGAUACAAAUUUGCCAUGACUUCCUGGAGGACAACAGCAUGGAGAAAGAUCCUAGAACAGGCCUCUGACUUCCCUCACCUCCCAACCAUCAUUACAGGAAAGACUGUGAACUCCUGAGUUCAGCCUGAUUUCUGACUGCAUCCCAGCAAGCUCUGGCAUCUGUGGAUUAAAAUCCCUGGAUCUCUCUCAGUUGCAUGUUUGUUCAUCUUCAUAUGCUGGCAGGAAGAACUAUUAAUACAGAUACUCAGAAGCCAAUAACAUGACAGGAGCUGGGACUGGUUUGAACACAGGUUGUGCAGAUGAGGAGGGGGUACUGGCCUUGGGCCUCAGGGGUUGCUUCCCCCUAUGAUGCAGACAUGCUGAAUUUAAUUCAAGGAGGAGGAGAAUGUUUUAGGCAGGUGGUUAUAUGUGGGAAGAUAAUUUAUUCACUAAUCCAAAUUUUAUUCAUGGAUCCAAAUGUUUGUUGAGUCCUUUCUUUGUGCUAAGGUUCUUGCUGUGAACCAGUUAUAACAGUGAGCUCAUCUGUCUGUUUUAGGAUGUAUAGCCUAGUGUUAACAUUCUUGGUAUCUUUUUGUGCCUUAUCUAAAACAUUUCUCGAUCACUAGUUUCAGAUGUUCAUUUAUUAUAUUCUUUUCAAUAGAUUCAGAGAUUGGCUUUUGUCAUCCACUAUUGUAUGUUUUGUUUCAUUGACCUCUAGUGAUACCUUCAUCGUUUCCUACUUUCUGUUUUCGGAUGGAGAAGAUGUACCUUUUUUGUCAACUCUUAUUUUUAUCAGAUGAUCAACUCAUGUAUUUGGAUCUUUAUUUGUUUUCUCAAAUAAAUAUUUAAGGCUAUUCAUUU